rnacentral:rRNA from 1 species
UAACCGCUCUCCACCCAAUGGUCUUCCUCCGCUGCAAUUUUAGUCACGGUCACUGCUGCUACUACCUGUGCUACUCGAACCAACCGUCACCGGCGGCGUUGUCACAACAUGAGCCUCGGGUACGAUAGGCUCGAGCUGUUAUGCUUGUCGAGUCAGGAAAACGUCGGCACAAGUAGCUGUUCAACAGGUAUGUCAUGGAACCGUAGUUGUUGGUGCCGGUACUAUCGCCUCAACACGACCGGCUGUCGGGACGAUGGUACGCGGCUCGUCAGAUGACUAAAGUCUUCUGGCACUCCUGACGACCCGAGUUCCCCAACUUAGCCCAAGUGGUGUACACCACCGUUGGACCCAACCGUGAGUAGAACCUCGUGUUAAUUUACCUUUAGUCAUCGUUUUGGUGUUAGACGUAUCACCAUUAGAUUAGGAUCUUAAAUCGAAGUAAAUAUAUAAAGCUUCACCAAGGUACUAAAAUAUAAAACGCAUGAUACAAACCUGACAUUGUAAAUUGGACCCUAAAAUUCACACGCUUGUCAACUAUACCCAA